rnacentral:ncRNA from 1 species
GUUUGAUAGAAGUUUCUAUUAUGUUUAUAAUUGUACUUUAUAGGAUUUAUGUUUUAAUUUUCUAAUAGUUGGGUUUCUUUAUUAGUAGAAAGAGUACUUAAAGAUUAAUUUUGUGCCAGCAUUCGCGGUCAUACUUUAUUUAUUAUAUUUAUUUUAGGUAUAAGGAUUUUUUAAAAAAACUUUCUUUUUGAUGGGUGAAAUUUUUAAUAAUUUGUUUUUAUCUGACUAUCUGUAAUUUAGUAUAAAACUAGGAUUAGAGACCCUUUUAUUUUUAUAUUAUAUUAAGGUAGUAGUAUAUUGUGUAAAAACUUAAUUUUUCUGGCGGUUUAUUGCGUUCUCAGAGGAGCUUGUUAUUUAAAAGAUAGCCCGCUUUUAUCUUUACCUCUUUUUUAUUUAUGUAUGGCUGUUUAGUUAUGGAGUUUAUUCUAUUAUGAAAAAAAAAUUUUUUUUUAUUUCAGGUCUACUUGUAGAUUAUAGGGUGGAUUUUUAUGAGCUACUUUUAUUUAGUCUUUUUUUUUUUUGGUAAAAUUGGAUUUGAAAGUAAAUUAGUAAUAUAACUUCUUGUUGAAUAGAUAUUGCAAUAAAAGUACAUAUCGCCCGUCACUCUUUUGAUAGAUAAGUCGUAACAAAGUAGGUCUACUGGAAGGUGGACCUUGAUUGGG